GUUUCCACCCGGACCAUUGAGUGUGUAAACGCUCCUGCUGAGCAGACACGUGAUUCUCCGUGUGUUUAUUAAUGAUCGUUAGGGUGCUAACGUAACAGUAGAUGAUCAGAGUAAAGUUGUAAAGACGUCAGCGCUGAGUUGAGUUUCCCCUCUGUGACUCUUGGAUGUGUGUAAGAUGGCCGGGUUUAAGGAUCUUAAAGAGUUAUUCAGUCGACGGCUGCUCGCUGCGGUUAUCAGAGAUAUAACAGAAGAAAGAACAACAAGUGGAUACGAAGAGGAGCUCCACCGACAAAGAAAACUGCUGGAUGUGAUUUUAACUCCUGAAAUCAAGCUACAGAGAACAGACGUCCAGGUGGUGAGUAAAGAAGAGCAGCAGGAGUGGAGCCCCAGUCUGGACCAGGAGGACACUAAGCCCCCACACAUUAAAGAAUAACAUGAGGAACUGUGGAUUAGUCAGGAGGAAGAACAGCUUCAAGGACUGGAGGAGGCUGAUACCACCAAGUUCCCCUUCACUCCUGUCUCUGUGAAGAGUGAAGAUGAUGAAGAGAAACCUCAGUCCUCACAGCUUCAUCAGAGACAAACUGAACAGAUGGAAACAGGAGUUGAUGGAGAGGACUGUGGAGGAGCAGAACCAGAGAGAGACUCAGAUCCAGAGAGACGUUCACAACCAGAGACUGAGGUCGAGACUGAAGACUCUUAUGAACCUGAGACUGAUGACAGUGAUGAUUUGAAGGAGAUAAGAGAAGAUCAGUCAGCUUUAAAACAUGUGGAAAAAAAUGAAAAAUAAACCAGCAGAAUCUGAUAAGAACCCUCACAGCUGCUCUGACUGCGGUAAAAAAUUCAAUAGCAAGUCGCUUCUGAGCAGACACAAGAUGAUACACAUAGAAGAGAGAGCCUUCAGCUGCUCCGAGUGUGGCAAAACAUUCACGAGAAAAUGGCGAGUGAACAAACACAUGAAAAUUCAUACAGGAGGAAAAUGUGUGAGCUGCUCAGAGUGCGGUAAACGUUUUAGAAACCAGAAAUAUCUAAAAAUUCACAUGAAAGUUCACACAGGAGAUCAAAUAUUAAGCUGCUCUGAAUGUGGUAAACGAUUUUCCCAAAAUGGGCAUCUGAUCCAACACAUGAGAAUGCACACAGGAGAGAGACCAUUUAGCUGCUCUCAGUGCGGUAAAAAAUUUAGACAAAAGUGCACUCUGACAAAUCACAUGAUCCUGCACACAAGCGAGAAACCCUUUAGCUGCUCUCAGUGCGGUAAAACAUUUAGACACAAGUGCAGUCUGACAAAACACAUGAUCCUGCACACAGGAGAGAAACCCUUCAGCUGCAGGCUUUGUGAAAAAAGGUUCACUUGGCCAUGCCAGGUAAAAUUUCAUAACUGUGUUGGUGUUCAGGCUUCAGAGCUCCGUGGAAAUCAAAGAGAGGCAGACAGAGGAGCUAAUGGAGAGGCCUGUGGAGGAGCAGAUCAAGGGAGGCAUUUAAGAACAAUGACUGAGGUCAAGACUGAAGACUCUUCUGGAGCUGAGACUGAAGACAGUGAUGAUGACUGGAGGGAGACUGGAGAACUUCCAUCAGUGAUAUGAAAUGUACCACUGGUGAGAAACUACUGCUCUGAGUGUGCUGAUACAUUCAGUUAGCACCCCAAGAGACUCAAAAACUCGCACGAGAGAGAAACCAUAUAGUUGUUAUUUUUUGUAGUCCCGUUUCUUUUAGAGAUUUAAACGAGGUGUUAUAUUCCCCUUCCUCAUUAGUCAAUGCAUUUUAAGACUGAUUAUUUCCUCAGCUCCUCCUUUAGCUUCUCCCUGCCUUUGAUGUUUCUGGCGAUGCAAAAUAACAUCUACUGUUUCCUGUUCCUGUCCACGAUCACACAAACCUGACUGAUGUUUACCUGUUAAGUGCGUCGUGUAAUUUAACCCUGUGAGUCUUCGUCUCGUUAGGAUUGUUUGCUUCCGCCUUGUUUUCACUCCUCUCACUUUGUGUUGAGUUUGAUAAAGAUGACGUCCUUCAUGCUCUUCAUCCCAGAUCUCUUGCCAGGCAGACAUGAUUUUUUUACCUCCCUGAUUGAAUCUCUCAUGUGGGCUGGUUUAGCCCUCUCCCCCUGUGAGCCACUGAUACUAAUGAACCUGACGACUGUUUGUGAUUUCUGUCAUCUAAAGAGGGAAUCGUGUUUCAUGAAUUAAAUCUAAUCAGCAUUGUGAUGACUUAGACUGUAAUGAUACCAAUGAAGAUCAUGAUUUCUUUUUUCCAGCUCUCUUUUACUGAUUUCAGUGAACUCUGACAUCGUGUACUAUAAGGUGCUUUUUAUUUAUUCAUAAAAUGUUUCAAUAAACUUUUUAAAAAUCUGA